rnacentral:rRNA from 1 species
GAGAGAGACAUGCGCGCAUAUCAAUAAGCGGAGGAAAAGAAACUAACAAGGAUUCCCCUAGUAACGGCGAGUGAAGCGGGAAGAGCUCAAAUUUGAAAUCUUAAAGGGUUUCCCUUUACGAAUUGUAGUUUAAAGAAGUGUUUUCUGUUGAGGUUUUGGUAAAAGUUCUUUGGAAUAGGACAUCAUAGAGGGUGAGAAUCCCGUAUUUGACCUUUACUUUCAACUUUGUGAUACACUUUCAAAGAGUCGGAUUGUUUGGGAAUGCAGUCCAAAAUGGGUGGUAAAUUUCAUCUAAAGCUAAAUAUUGGCGAGAGACCGAUAGCGAACAAGUACCGUGAGGGAAAGAUGAAAAGAACUUUGAAAAGAGAGUUAAACAGUACGUGAAAUUGUCAAAAGGGAAGCGUUUGACACCAGUGUUGUUUUUCUGAAAAUCAAUUAAAGAACUGUUUAUGCUAAGUUGUUUAGACUUUAUCAGCUAACUGUUUAGUUUUGAGCUUUUCUUUAAUGCACUUUUCAGUUAACAAGUCAACAUCAAUUUCUUUUGCUGUAAAAAAGCUUGAGGAAGGUGGCUUGAGAUUCGUCUUAAGUGUUUAUAGCCUCUUGCCUAUGCAGUCGGAGAGAUUGAGGUCUGCAGCGUAGAUCCUUCGGGGCUAAAUGCAUUUGUGCUAAGCUAUAGCAUUUUAUAGACAACUUGUUGACUAUGAUUUGUCUUGUAGCUUACUCGCUUAUGUUAUUUUACCUACGCUUAGGAUGUUGACGCAUGAGAUAUACGC